ACAUGCCUAUAACAUAGCGUCAAUGCACCAGAUCCCAUUAGAACUUUGAAAUUAAGCACACUUAGGCUAGAGUAGUACUAGGAUGGGUGACUACCUAUUAAUUCCUAGUGUUUUACAUGCC
rnacentral:rRNA from 1 species